UUUUUAUACCUACCUACCACGAUUUGUACACAAACACCUAAAUACAUAAUGGAGUUAGAUGAUUAUGACAAUUUAUUUAAAGUGAUUGCUGUCGCAGAAGCAUUUGGUGAAUUA
rnacentral:lncRNA from 1 species